UGGCUAGAAGACAAGAAGGAUGAGUAAGGCAUGGAAAGUCAAAGAAAGGGGCUAGGGCAAAGACAAAAAUUGAUGGGCAAGGCAUGGAAUGAAAUGAUGUUUUGUUAUUGUUAAGUAGGAGACGGAGAACAUGUAAAUAACCUAAGAAAAACCUAGGGUAGACUAGGAAAGGGUGUCAAGACCUAGGCAAGCAUGCAUAAAGUAGGUGAUAGAUGUCGUUUUCAAGCCAUGCAGCCUUUCUAUAAAUAGAGAUACUUUGAAGGAGAAGAGCAUUACAUCCAUCCAUGCCAUUUCCUUGAUUCCACUUUCUAAACCUCACAAAUUGAGUUUGGUUUGUAGUCUUCGGCUGUCAGACAAAUUGGAGCAAAGAAGGUUCGAGUUUGAGUUCAGAAAAAGGAGGAAUAUCAAAAUUUGGGUCAAUCUGGACAAGGUGCACUUCUGAAGGGCUAUGGAGCAUAUUGUUUGGCAUUUAGAGUUGAACAUUUGAGGUAAGGAUCAUCUUGCUCUGAGAUGAGCUUAUUGCUUUCAUACCAACCAGUCUUUUAGAUGGAAUACAAAUCAUUAUAGUUAAUAUUGUGUAGGGGAAAAAAUCAAUAAGUUGAAGUUGUAUAGAAAUCUAAUUGAGUCAAACCUUUAGAGGUAACAUUAUGUAUAAUUUAAUCUUGUAAUGGGUUGGGCUACACUUGAAUUUCCUUAAUACUAGAAUGAGAUUUAUGUUUCCAUUGCAUUUUAAAAGAUUAAACGAGUAGGGUCAGCAGAUAUCAUGAUGUUAAGAGAUGGUAUUGGUUGACUUCACGCCAUCUCAUGGGUCGAGAGUAGGUGGUCCGAGUGGGGGUCUGAUAGUAUGGUAUCAGAGAAAGUUUGGCCUUAGGGAUAUAAGAGUCUAAAGUUGUAAGUAUGCUUUAAGACACUAGGAUUCUAAAGUAAAUCUAGAAGAGUAGUAUUAAAAUAUAUGUAGACUGGCUGGCAAUGUAGUAAGCAAAUAGAGGAGACAUGAUCUCACCCAAAGCAUUGUAAGUAUAUGCUAUUUUUCAAAGGUAAAACACAAUUCAUAGAUGAUGAUUUGUGUCACUUGUAGGUAGCUUAGAACUUAACUAGCAAUGGAUUUAAGAGCCAAAAUUUUAAAUGAUGGUUUAAUAGCACUAGGAAUUUUAGAGUUUAGUGGAUCUAUAAACUGUACGGAGGCAAAUAAGUGGUUAAAUCAUCUGAAGGACUUUUUUUGGACAACAAUUAAGAUGCCUCGAAAACCAGAGGGGUAGAACUAGCAGAGAUAGUACUUAGAGGAGAAGCAAAAGACUGGUGGAGGAAGGUUAAGUUAGAAUUAAAUCAUGGGAAAAGAACAAGGUGGGAGAUGUUUAGGGGAAUGUUCAAGGGGAAAUAUUUUUCUGGACAUUAUUGUAGCAUGAAAGAAAAAGAAGAAUUCAUCCAAGGAACAUAUAUUAUUACAGAAUAUGCAGAAAAGUUUAAGAGAGAGAUAGAAUAUGUAACCAUACCCUAGCGAAUGGAGAGAGAAAUAUGCAUGAAACUCAUCGAAGGCCUCAAAAUAGAAUAUCACACACCAGAAAUUGUGGAAUAUAACUGGACUAGCCUAUGCUCAUUUGCAAAAAUAACGAGGGAGAUGGAAGAAAAAGUUGAAGAGAAAAACAAACUAAAAUCUAAUUGAUGUAGGAAUCUGUGGGCUCUUUUUUAGUAGGAGAGAAGUCUAGAGGAGGUACAAGAAGACGAGCAUGUAAAAAUUGACAGAAAUACCAUGGGGGACCUUAUUUGGAAGACACACAACAACGUUUCUACUGUUUUCAACCAGAACAAUAUAAGAGAAGCUGUGUAUUUCUAAAGAUGGAUCAACAAAGAGAAAUGAUAAUUGUACCACCUCGUUUUAUGAGGGCCCUGCAAGAUGAGAUCAGGAUGCUUGGGAUCAGACCAAAUUUUUGUAGCUGAAGGAAGAUGACCAAAAUACUUCAUAAAAAUAGUAUAUAUAUGCAUGUAGACAUUCAUAUGUAAAUAGUGUGCUAGACUAUGUAGUAAGUCCAUAAAAAGUCAUCAAACCAUGUGAAAUUGAAUAAGGUAUCCUUUUCAGUUUAGUAGUUCUUGACCCUGCUUAUGAAUUAUGUUAAACAAUUACAUAAUGUAGGAUUUCUAAAGAUGACUCAAGAAAAGAGAAAGCAAAAGCAGAUAGUGAAAGAAGAAAACAUCCCAUAAAAAGAAGAGAAGAAGAUAUACAAUCUGCAGAGAAUCUAGUGUCUCACAACAACCAAUACUAGGAGAGAACAACGCAUAUCAAAAGUUAUUAGAAGCAUUAAAUUUCUUAGAACCAAAUCUGACAAUAGACGCGACAUCAAAAGAUUGAAACACUUAGGAGCUACAAUGUUUGAAGGAUAAACUGGCCCAAAAGAUGUUAAGGAUUGGUUGAACCUAUUAGUAAAAUGCUUUAGGGUAAUGGUCCGGAAAACAAAAAGGUUAGAUUAACUACCUUCCUACUACAUAAGAAAGCAGAAGGAUGGUAGAGAUCAAUAGUAAUUUGAAGGGGAGGUAUGGAAGAGAUGGAUUGGAAAACCUUUAGAGAAAUUUUUAAGAUAAGUAUUAUCCAACAACCUAUUGUGAAGUGGAGAGAGAAGAAUUUCUAAACUUAACUAUAGGGUCACUUUCGGUAAUGGAAUAUGAAUGAGAGUAUACUGCACUUUCACGGUAUGCCUAACCAAUUAUUGCAACUAAAGGAGAAAGAUGCAGGAGAUUUGAGAAAGAGCUAAGGGAAGCAAUACGAACCUCAAUAAGUGUGAAGCUAAAUGGACCAACUUUUCGCAACCAAUAGAAAAUAAUUUAUUGGUAGAACAAAGUUUGUCACGAGGGAAAGAAGACGUUGAAGGGAAGAAAUAAGAAAUAAGUAUAGAUAAUCAAAAGCGGGGAUUCCCAAAAAUAUGCAAAACAUGAUUAUUAGACACGACCUGGAGGACGAUCUUAUUAACAGGAAAAUUUAGGAAGUGUCUAUCAAGAGAAAUAUCAUGGGCUUAAGAGACACGUGAUGAAACCCCAGUUUCUAAACUUGGAUCCACUAUCAAUGGUGACAAAAGAAUAUUUUGUGCAUAAUGUCAAAAAUAUCAUCGAGGGCCAUGUUUAAGGACUACAUGUGCAUGUUAAUACUGUCAACAACAAGAUCAUUACAUGAAAGAAUGUCCAAAACUCUAGGAGGAUAGAAGUGUGUCACAAUUGGUAAACCAACUUAAGACUACACCAGAAGGGUCGGGUAACGCCAAACAAAAAGGAGUAUUAAGAUAAUAUGUUAGAAAAUUUUCUUAAUUUUAUAAAUCUUUCUACAAUUUGGUUAUUAAACUUUUCUUAAGAAAUAAUAGCAAUAACAUGGAGUGAAGGUUUAAGGAAGUAAGUUACGAUCUGCAUUACUCAAAUUUUGAGGACGAAAUUUCUUAAGGAGGGAAGGAAUUAUAAACCUCGGUUCUCGAGUCUUUAGAAAAUUUUCAGUAUUUUUUUAAAAUUCAAAAUUUCUAAGAAUUUUAAGGAUGUAUCUUGGUGAAAGUAGAAUUUAUACUGGGAUCUUAUGUAUGAAUUAAAGAGCCUGUAAAAAUAAGUAUAGUAAUUUUGGGCUAAAAAGGAAUUUUACUUCAACACUUGGUUAAAAGAGCACGUGAGUGAUAUUUUUCAAAAAUCAUAGAAAAUACCUAGUUGUAGGAAUGCCUUGGUUGAAAUGCCAUGAGAACUUAAAGAAAAAAGAAGAAGGGCUAGAAGACAAGAAGGAUGGGAAAGACAUGAAAAGUCAAAGAAAAUGGCUAGGGCAAAGACAGAAAGUGAUGGACAAGGCAUGGAAUGAAAGGAUGUUUUGCUAUUAUUAAGUAGGUCGGAGAUGGAGAACAUGCAAAUAACCUAAGAAAACCUAAGGUAGACUAGGGAGGGUGUAAAGACCUGGGCAUGCAUGCAUAAAGUAGGUGAUAGAUGUCAUUUUCAAGUCAUUCAUUCUUUCUAUAAAUAGGAAUGCCUUGAAGGAGAAGAGCAUCGCAUCCACCUGUGUCAUUUCCUUGAUUCCACUUUCUAAACCUGACAAUAUGAGUCUAGUUUGUAGUCUUGAGCUGCUGGAAAAAUUAAAGCAAAGAAGGUUAGAGUUUGAGUUGAAAUUAAUGAUUUCAAUUGAAAUGAUUUCUAAAAAGAGAUUUAUAUGAAAGCCUUAUGUAGUAUUUCAAA